rnacentral:tRNA from 1 species
GGGGUUGUGGCUCAGUGGUAGAGAACCUACCUGGCAUGUGUGAGGCACUGAGUUUGAUCCUCAGCACUUCA